AAGAGAGUUACUGCUUGCUCUUCAGUUUCCCAGGUCCUCCGUGUGUGCUUUGAAGCAAUAUGAAUGUGUCGUCUAAAGAAUCAUUGUGGGAAAUACCAAGGCCUGCAGAGUCAAGGCUCCCGGAGUCCUGCCCCGUCUCAUACUCAGCGCGGGUCUACAAGAGCUACCAGUCUCAACAGCAGACCUGCUGCUAUUCCGUAUCUUAAAUAUCAUGAGACAAGCCUUUCAGUGUUUUGUUAAAUACGUAUUUCCCC
rnacentral:lncRNA from 1 species